rnacentral:rRNA from 1 species
AGCAGCCGCGGUAAUUCCAGCUCCAAUAGCGUAUAUUAAAGUUGUUGCAGUUAAAAAGCUCGUAGUUGAAUUUCGGGAUUAAUAUGCUGGUCGUGCCAUUGGUACGUACUAGUAUUAUUGAUUUCUCCCUUCUGAUGAAUCAUGAUGUCAUUAAUUUGAUGUCAUGGGGAAUCAGGACUGUUACUUUGAAAAAAUUAGAGUGUUUAAAGCAGGCUCGCGCUUGAA